CUCUAGACUCUGCGUGGCAGAAGGGAGCUGGAGGGGAGGUGGGGUUGAGGGAACCCAGGCGUUGGCACCUGCGUCUGUAAUGCUGCUGAUUUGCCCGCACCUCACUCUCCGGAAAGCCAGCUGGGACCUCCCGUGUGAUGUUCAAGGGCCCCACAAAGUUCUGCUCUACCAUGGCCAUGAAAAAGCUCCCUGACUCGGCUCCUGGACAACACCAUCCCUCGGGUUUCCUGUUAUCCUGAGAAUUGAGUGUCUGCAUCCAGGAUAUUUUCUCAGUAUAGACUUCCAGAGGUGGAAUUUCUGGAUCAAAGAAAGUGGACAUUUACAAGAUUCUCAGCACACUGCCAAGUGCACUGCCCUCGAAGGUACGCUCAUGCCCGCCCUCCCCGGUGGGUGCCCCGGGGCCCCUGGUGGCCUCAGUAAGACUCUGUUAGACGGGCUCUGCAGUCAUUAGCAGGCUCAAGCGUGAGGUACGCAUGCAUUUUAUUUUUGUGUUUCUUUGAGUAGUAAUGCCAGGGCACAUUUUUUCCUCUUGGAGUCACCUUUCAAUGGCAGGUGAUUAAUAGUGGGUGGAAUGAGCGAGUCAGAGAACUUCUUCCACCUCCCUGGGGGGCAGCUGCUGGUGGGUGCCAAGAAUUCCAGCUCAGCUCGGCUGUUCAAACACUCCAGCCUUGUUUUCUUUUUGAAACUCAAAAAUAUCUGUGAGUGGGUGAGAAAACCCUUCAUAUAAACAAGGAAAAAUAAUAUCUUUCUGGCGGUACAUUUCAAGAGGGCAUUGAAAGGAGUGGAAGAAGACCUGUGGCAGAAGGCUCCUUGUCCCUCCUGGGCAGCUCCAUGUCUCAUGGCCUUGGCCCGUUCUGCAGUUUCAUAAGGAAGGGAUGGCGGGCUUUUCCUCCCUUUUUAUUGAUGAGGAAGUCCAGGCUCAAAGAGGACAGCCUCCUGCCCUUGCCCCACGUCCUCUCCCAGGAAGCAACUGUCUCCUUCAGCUAGCGACAGCAACUGCAAGAAGCCAGCAACAGGUUCACUUCAAAGGUCAGGCCGCAGCUGGGUCUGGCAGAGGCCGCCUGGAGUGGGGUGUGGGGAGGAUGGUGGCGCUCAGCCUGGCAGAGUGGGAGAGCGUUAUAAUCGACUGGCGAUGCCUGCCAGGCACACAGGCGGUGGGAGGGCGUCCACAGGCGCCCAGUGGUGAGCAGGUGCCAGCAUUGCCCGGGUGCAGGUAUCUACAACAAAUGUGAGCCUGCCCCCUCCGGAGUCUCCAAGACCCCAUGUCUUCUCCUAGGGAAAUUAGAAGGUUGGACAUCAGCACCCAUAUUGGUUUCUGUGGCCUUGUGUGGAGUUGGUUGUUUUGCCUCCUUUCUGUAUCAUAGUCCUAUGUGGGCCAGGGUGGAGUUCCGACCUGAGAGGGGUGUCAGAGCUGAGCCUUUGUAAAUCAAUGAAUUAAGAAACAUCUACCUUUUCCGGCCUCCUGCCUCCAUCCUGCCCUCCGCAAACAUGCCCAGCUGUCCCACCCCAAGACUCCGGUGCCCUGAGUCCUCUGCACAGAGAAGAGGGUUGUGCAGAGCCUCGCUCUUCCCUCUGCUUCCCCCGUGCCUGGAAGGAUGUGUGUGGCCGAGGGCUUUGCAAUACUUCAUCCUAAAGAAUAAAACUUGAAUUGUGGAAUUUCUGGUUUACUUGAGGUUGAAAAUUUAGGUGGAAUGCCUUCCCUGGGCGUCUCAAAUGCCCUGUCGGCAGGCUGUAAGAGGCAACCCUUCUCAACCCGUUUGUGUUUCCCCUCUUGGAUUCUAGCCAGGUAUCUUUUGUCCCAGAGGAGCAGAAAAUGUGUCCACAGGAUGCUGAAGACCUUGCUUCAGAGGUCAGAAGACCUUGUGCAGAGUUCAGUGACAAAGGCGGAUGGGCAGUCUUCAUCCAUGAACCCAACAGAUCUAUUCUGCACUUCUGUUGCAGCGGCUAUGGUCUUCUGCACACACGGCCUCCCGUAACCAAGGCAGAGUCAGGUGGAUUCACAGUUGUGUCAAAAGUGGGCUUUGCUUCUGUCCUAAGGGAUCUGUUAUAGGGUGCUUUUUUCUAUUCAGGCCUCAGCAAUUUCUAGACCAUCUUUCUUCCAGAGUACACCUCUCACUCAUCUUCAAUGUUAACUGCUAACAUGUUUUGCAAACCUGACCAUAUCUGCGCCCUGUUCACUCCUGUAAGUCCUUCCAAGGUCUCUCUCCCACUCACAAGGCAACAUCCAGGCCCUAAAGAAUGGCAGCCAGACCCCCCAUUACCUGGUUCUUUGUAGUCUCUGGAUCCAGCCUCAUCCUGUUCACUUCUGCACAGGACUCACGUUCCAGGUAUAACAGCACACCGGAAGUUUCUACACGCACCUCUGUUUCUCUGCAUUUCUCACCCCUUCAUCCGGCUCACUCCUUCAGAACCAGGCUCAGAAUUCCUCCUCCAAGGAUCCUUCCCUGACCUCACUCAGGCCUUAAGAUCUCCUUCCACUGUGGACUUUCACAGCCUGAGCAGAUUGAACACGUUUUCUAUU